rnacentral:rRNA from 1 species
GACAGAGGUGCCAAGCGUUAGGCGGAAUCACUGGGCUUAAAGCGUGUGUAGGCGGACUUCUAAGUACCUUGUGAAAUCCCCCGCUCAACCGGGGAACGGCUGGGUAUACUGGGAGUCUUGAGCCAGCUAGGGGUCGCCGGAACAAGUGGUGGAGCGGUGAAAUGCGUAGAUAUCACUUGGAACGCCAAUGGUGAAAACAGGCGACUGGGGCUGUGCUGACGCUGAGACACGAAAGCCAGGGGAGCGAAC